rnacentral:rRNA from 1 species
GACGAACGCUGGCGGCGCGCUUAACACAUGCAAGUCGAACGGAGUUGUUGGAACUGAAGUUUUCGGAUGGACGUACUGACAACUUAGUGGCGAACGGGUGAGUAACGCGUGGGUAACCUGCCUUUUAGAGGGGGACAACAGUUGGAAACGACUGCUAAUACCGCAUAAGACCACGGUACCGCAUGGUACAGUGAUCAAAGGAGCAAUCCGCUAAAAGAUGGGCCCGCGUCUGAUUAGAUAGUUGGUGGGGUAACGGCUCACCAAGUCAACGAUCAGUAGCCGGACUGAGAGGUUGAUCGGCCACAUUGGGACUGAGACACGGCCCAGACUCCUACGGGAGGCAGCAGUGGGGAAUAUUGCACAAUGGGGGAAACCCUGAUGCAGCGACGCCGCGUGAGGGAAGAAGGUAUUCGUAUUGUAAACCUCUGUCUUCGGGGACGAUAAUGACGGUACCCGAGGAGGAAGCACCGGCUAACUACGUG